rnacentral:tRNA from 1 species
GGGCGUGUGGUCUAGUGGUAUGAUUCUCGCUUUGGGUGCGAGAGGCCCUGGGUUCAGUUCCCAGUAUGCCCC